GGUCAGUGAAGAAACUAUCCCAAACUUGAUUGAUUGCUUGAAGAAAAACACAUGUGAAUCUGAUUUCUAAGUU
rfam:Columba livia unplaced genomic scaffold scaffold46, whole genome shotgun sequence.